CCUACGGGAGGCAGCAGUGGGGAAUUUUGGACAAUGGGCGCAAGCCUGAUCCAGCAAUGCCGCGUGCAGGAUGAAGGCCUUCGGGUUGUAAACUGCUUUUGUACGGAACGAAACGGCGAGCUCUAAUAAAGUUCGCUAAUGACGGUACCGUAAGAAUAAGCACCGGCUAACUACGUGCCAGCAGCCGCGGUAAUACGUAGGGUGCAAGCGUUAAUCGGAAUUACUGGGCGUAAAGCGUGCGCAGGCGGUGAUGUAAGACAGAUGUGAAAUCCCCGGGCUCAACCUGGGACCUGCAUUUGUGACUGCAUCGCUAGAGUACGGUAGAGGGGGGAUGGAAUUCCGCGUGUAGCAGUGAAAUGCGUAGAUAUGCGGAGGAACACCGAUGGCGAAGGCAAUCCCCUGGACCUGUACUGACGCUCAUGCACGAAAGCGUGGGGAGCAAACAGGAUUAGAUACCCUGGUAGUCCACGCCCUAAACGAUGUCAACUGGUUGUUGGGUCUUCACUGACUCAGUAACGAAGCUAACGCGUGAAGUUGACCGCCUGGGGAGUACGGCCGCAAGGUUGAAACGUCAAAGGAAUUGACGG
rnacentral:rRNA from 1 species